rnacentral:lncRNA from 1 species
CAUACGAGCUGCACCCGACGCCCGAAGAGGAAGCUGUAGCGGAUCUACACCACGCCGAAGUCGAGCCCGUGCUAGAGCAAGCCGAGGACCAGUUCGCUAACUCCGAGUGUGAAGGCAAGCCCCGGAUCAUAAAUUCCUAUGUUUAAAUACUUGCAAUAUAUUGGUUGUUUUGAUUAUGCAUUUACGUUUAUAGGAAUUGAUUGAAACCAUAGAUGCAUGAAUAUAGUGCCCCUUGAUCUGAACACUAGUAUAAGAAGUCGAGUAGUUGCAAUGCUAAAUAGGACUCGGUAAAAGUCGAGUGAUUUCCUGUCACUCGCGAGUUAUAGGAGUUGAAUGAUUUUUCUUUUCAUUGCAACUAUAAGGAUGAUGGACGGGGCUGGGCUUAUGUUGGUACUCGGUGGUUUGCCCCGUCUGUCUACUUGAAAUUGGACUAAGGUCGAAAGGUGAUGGUGUUCGUGAUCAAGUGUUUGAAAGUACUAAUCUCAUACCUAGUAUGGGAUGGGGAAGCCUAGUACCUGAUUGAACUGGGACGUGGCUUAUACCCCUGCUGUCCUUGGAACGUCGUUCCCAUGGUGCAUCAUGUGGGUGCAAUGGCGGUCAUAGUACGGUAGAGACCGGGACUGUGGAGCAUUGCAUGCCAAAGGAAGUUUGGACCUGACACGUACCUAGGGAUCGAUGGGGACGGCUGACAAGUGAAGCGACCCUUCGUGGUGCGCGGAUGUCGUGGGAUUAGGUUCGCCAUGCAUGGUUAAUAAAUUCGAAUCGAUUCGUCUGCCUCUCACAGUGUGGGACUACUUGAUCGCUAUGCUACACUGAGUAAGAAUGAAAGAUGAUGAUGAUAUAAUAUUGUUACUUGUUAUUAAUUGCUUGGAAAACUAUGCUUGUUUAGUAUAGUUGCUAACUUAGAAUGAUAAACAACAGUAGAACUGGUGGCUAAAAUGUUGAAAGUAAGGACCUACACUAGUCGCUUUUGGCAAAACAAAACCCAGAGCCAAAAAGCUUACAUGUCUAGGUGUUAGUGGAUUAGUACCACAGGUCGGUUAAGUCUUGUUGAGCAUAGUUGCUCAGCCUUGUUUGUGGCACCUCUUUUCAGGUGAGGAUGAUGUUUCUGAGUUCGCUGCUAGUUCUGCUUGGUCUACCCAACUCCCUCCGGGUUGGACGGUCGAGUGGGACCCCUCCUCGGACGGCGAGGACAGGGGUCAGUGAUGUCAUGAUCGGCUUCUUCAUGAUAUCGUGCAUCGACGUUUAGUUUCCGUUCAUUUUAUUUCCGCUGCUUGAACACUCUACAAACUAUGUUUGAAUUUCUGAACUUUAUGUUGUAAUAAAUCGGUGCACUUUGUUUGGAUGGACUGUUGUAAUCUCUGUAACCACUCACCAUCGUGUGAGUUUUGCUUUCUCGAUCCUGCGUUACGUGGUUUUAUCGGAGGAAAUCCGACGGACGACCAAGUUGACUUGUUUAAAGUACAUGAUCGCGUUUAGGCGACUUAAGUGUGCUUUAGCCAAGUUAAUUUAGGCGGUUCCGCCACAGCUGGUACCAGAGCUUGAAAGCAUGACAGAGAAAACAACAGACCUUAAAUAUCUUUUCUAAAAUAAAACUUGCAAGAAAUUAGUUUGAAAAUUUCGUACGAUCGUUAAGGAUGAACUUAGUACGAGAAGCCCUAGGGGAAUUUUUGGGUUAUUUAAGGUGGCUAUUAGCUAUUGGUUAUUUUACUGACUUCCAGCACUUUUGCCCACGUGUAUUAUACGUGCGCAGAGUUCCGCAUCGUGAGUAUGCGAGGGGUGAUAGGAAGUUCUAUUCAAAAGAACCUAUCAUCGCGGUUGUUUUCGCCCACGUUUAUUAUACGUGCGUAAGGUUCCGUAUGAUGAUUCAUGCGAAGGGUGGUAUGGUUCGAUUCCAACGAGCCUAUCAUCACGGUUGUUCGCCCACGUUUAUGAUACGUGCGCAUGAUUCCGCAUCACGAGUAUGCGAAGGGAUAUAUGGUCCUAUUCAAAGGGGCCUAUUUUCACGGUUGUUGCGCUGUCCAUGCAGCGUUAAACGCAUGGGUGCCAUUUCUAUAGUGAAUGGUAAUGAAUGGGGACGCUUUCGUGAGUGCUGGCACGAAAGGUUCAUGUGGUAUUGUGUUUUUCUGCAGGUACACUAACCACGUUCGCGUAGGAAAACGAUAUUAGAAACCCGACUAGAUACUAUAGGGAGCGAUGUAAUUGUUGCCUUGCCACCGGCACUAAUCACGUAAGUCCAAUUUUUGGCAAUUAUUUUGGUUGAGAGGACGAUGUAGGUCGUGCAUGCAUCAUGAACUAAAAUCCAUGAAACCGAACCUUUAAAUCGACCUUGCUCAUGUGUUUUAAGUUUUUUUUUUUUUUUUUUUUUCCGCGUUAAGGAUUUUCUAGCUGCCCUUUUCAGCAUGGUGUCUUAUAAAAAUCUUUUGGGUUGUUUCCAUGUGUUAUCUACAGAAACUUUAUAUAAGAAAAGUGUGUAAAAACGUUUUAUCAUGCCACUGGUAAAAUUUGGUAAUUUUUCCCAAAGGAUUUGCAAGCAAUGACAAAAAAAUUGUAACUCCUUAUUUCCUGGAAAUACAGUUUGUGCACCUGUUAUAGUCUUCCUGUUUCGACUCCCUUAAGGACAUUUUCUGCUAGGCACUGCUUAAGAAAAGCUGUAGAGCACUGUUUGAAGAACCUUGUGGUAAAUAUUCAGCUUAUUUAUAUCUCUGGUUUGGGAGUUAUGCUCAGUUUAUUGCCACACUGUCCCUGAAAAUUCCAUCAUGUGCCACCUGCCAAAGAUCUGAGUAUAUCACCCUGUUAGGAUCUGUUUUCACUCCACUUAUGAAUAUCAAACUUGUUACCAAUUAUCAGAAGGGAAUGUUGGUAAAAUUUGGGAAUUUUUGGAUGAGUACUUGUUGAGUUAUGACCUUUUUCUCUAGCCUACCAGAAUCUGUUUUCAUCCUGAGUUUUAAUCUCACGUUUCUUUUAUCACUCCUUGGUUCCAGAUGGCCGCUCCUGGGCACGUGAUACGUGGCACGGAUGGCACCUCCCACUCCACGUGCCUACACUUUGAGGGUUUUCCCGCUAUCUUGUGGGACACCUUGAGGUGGUUUGGGUACCAGUCGCCGCCUCUUUACGCGGGACGCGAGUACCUGGAGCAUGGGGUGCAAAGGUGCAGCGUGCGUGUGGUCGUACCUCCACCCCCAGUGCAGCCACAGUGGCCCCAGCUUGAGGUUUCGACAUAUGGUCAUACCCUCGAGGAUACUUGGGAGUCCGCUGCCCUGCAGGCCCUCACUCAGUUCUGCAGACUACACCCUUUCGAGGUCCUUUUGGAUCCGAUUGGCUUGUUCCCCGCUAGGGACAGGCUGGACGCAGACUGGCUUGAUAGGGUGAACAACAUGGAGGUGUUGGUCACCUCACACCCGCAGGUCACCCUCUCCACCGCAACGCGUUGUAUGAAUGCGUUGUACCGACUGGUCGAGCUCCAGGGGAGAGCUAUGGCUGUCUUGGCUCGGAUAGCUGUGGACACCCAGGAGCAUCUCAAUACCACCAAGAAAGAUUUGGUGGAACAGUCGUACCAGCUCAUCCAGAGGGGUAUACGAAUCUCUGACAUGGAGACCCGGAUCACCGAGCUAGAGGAGGAGGUGACAGAUAUGGAGCACGAUAUGGUAUUGCUUGCAGAGGAGAAGCUAGAGGUUGAGAUGGAGCUAGCUGUUGCUAAUGCGCACUUGGAUGAGCACCACGCCGAGCUCAAUGCCAUCCAUGCGCAGGAGCAGCAGGGGGAGAAUGACCCGAUGGAGGAGGAGGAGGAGGAGGAAGACCCCGAGGAGAUCGAGGGUGUCUCGAGCAUGGACUUCGAGGGCGUUCAGUCUCCGCCCCGAGUUGGUGACGCCCCUUCUCCGGUGCACAGCGCUUCCUCCGUGGGCAACUUAGAUGACUUCUAGGUUUUUGUUGUAGCGAGUUGGUCUUCUGUUGUUACUCCUCGGCAACCUAUAUUUUGGAUGGCGAUGUAAUAGGUUAGCCUCGAGUUGAGUACCCUUGCUGCCAUAGACUUGUUAUGUAUGCAUGGACAUGCUUUUGUCAUGACUGGCGAUGUAACCGAAAACUUGGCAGAAAUAUAGUUGCUGUUUGGUCUCAGUUUUAACCCUAUCUCCACUCACUUUUGAACUGAUUUUUAAAUACCAAAGCUGUGCAAAAACUUGUGUUCUAAUCGCUCGUAAAAUUUCAGCUCCUUUCGAUCUGUUAAACUCGUGUUAGAAGCCAAAACUUCACCGCUCAGAUUGCUGAAAAACAGCCGGACAACGACUCACUCAGCUCACUUUUCGAUCUCUUUAUCUUAUGUUUUGGUCAGUGAGCGUAAUACAAAAGUUGUGGCAUAUGAAAUGUGCUAACUACUGACCAAAGAUGAGAAACAAUGUGCAUACAGAAGAAGAGAUAUGCACCUACUCAACAAAAGGAUCUUAUUGUUGUUUUUCUCAGGAUCCGCAAGAUUUAUGUUUAUGAUCCCGCACAUAAUUUUUCCUUGUUUUUAAGCAAGCUUUCGAAUUAUGUGACUAAUGGAAAGAUACCCUCUUGCAGAUGGUGCGCACUGCGCGCUUAAGCUCGAUCCCAAGUGGUAGCGAGGAUAAUCGAGCACCUCCGCCACCACCGCCUCCCCCGCCUUCGCUAGAGGCGAUCUUGGCUGCACAGACAGAGCUCUUGCGACACAUCGUCCAAGGGCAGCAACACCAGCCUCAGGGAGGAAGGGGUCAUCAGCAGCCCCAGAUUGCUCGUUAUGAGGAUUUCUUAGGGACCCAGCCCCCGCUCUUCCGCAAGACUGAGGAUCCUCUCGAUGCUGAUGCAUGGAUUCACAUUCUGGAAUCCAAGUUCGAGCUUCUCACUACGCCUUGCACCGAUGACAACAAGGCACGGUUUGCAGCCCAGCAGCUGCGUGGUUCUGCCCGCCUCUGGUGGGACCACUACCACGCCAUGCUGCCGGCUGACCACAUCGUCAGCUGGGAUGAGUUCAAGACCGCUUUCAGAGGCCACCAUAUCCCUGAGGGCCUAAUGGAGCGCAAGCUCAAUGAGUUCCUGGCUCUCACCCAGGGAAGUCGCGACGUCCUGCAUUACGCGCAGGCCUUCAACGACCUAUGCCGCUAUGCCAGCUAUCACGCGGAUACGGAUGAGAAGAAGCGGGAUCGGUUCCGCAGGGGCUUGAGUCUCGAACUCAAGGAAAGGCUGAACCCCAUCAAAGUGGAUACCUACAAUGAGCUGGUGAAUCUGGCCAUUUCCCAGGAAGACUGCAUGAAGGCCCUCAAGGCCGACCUGAAGCGGAAAGCUCCCAUGAUAUCACCUAGCCCGCCUGCUCGGAAAUUCAGGAUGGUUCCCCCUUCAGCACCUCGCAGGCCCGCGCAGCCUGGGAGAUGGGUUGCUCGCCCUCCACCACCGGCAGCACCUCAUUUCCCCGGUUUCCAGCCGCAGGCGCCUCAGCGCAACCUUCCACCGCCGCCGCGCCCUGCAAAUGGUAACCGCUGCUUCACCUGCGGCAACGUGGGACACUUUGCCAAGGACUGCCCCAGAAACAAGAAUCAACGCCCCGGCCAGAGCAAUGCAAUGGUGAACAAGGGAAAGAAGCCCAAAGUACAAGUUCGUCAUGGCAGGCUAAACUUCACCAAUGUGGCAGAACUCCCAGAAGGCGCACCGGUGAUGACGGGUACAUUCCUUAUUCAUAAUCAACCAGUUUUGAUUUUAUUUGAUUCCGGAGCAUCUCAUAGUUUCAUCGGAAGUAAAACUGGUGCUAGAUGUGGGUUAAGGUUCUGUCACACCAAAGGGUCGUAUAUGAUCUCUACCCCAGGUGGGAAAAUAGCCUCAGAUCAAAUGAACCUCAAUGUACCUAUCAAGUUAGGAAGAACCCUCUUUAAGGAAAAUCUUAUUAUUCUCGGUCUAGAGGGAAUAGAUAUUAUCUUGGGUAUGGAUUGGAUGACUCAACACCGAGUAAUGCUAGAUAUCUCCGCCCGAGUUGUCCACAUAGACUCACCACUGUAUGGCACCUCCACUAUCCACUUACCCCACCGAGAGUGCAUAAACUCCUGUGCUUAUCCCAUGGUUGAGGCCCAACUGGAAGAUAUCCCCAUUGUUUGUGAGUAUCCAGAUGUAUUCCCGGAUGACCUGCCAGGCAUGCCACCUGACAGGGAUAUUGAGUUUGCUAUUGAGUUGCAACCAGGCACGGCACCAAUAUCCAAGAGGCCGUAUCGAAUGCCACCCGCAGAGCUGGCAGAACUGAAAACCCAAUUACAUGAACUGUUGGAAAAGGGUUUCAUUCGCCCAAGUACGUCACCUUGGGGCUGUCCAGCACUGUUUGUGAAGAAGAAGGACAAGAGUCUACGCAUGUGUGUGGACUACCGCCCUCUCAAUGCGGUGACGAUUAAGAAUAAAUAUCCAUUGCCCCGCAUUGAUGUCCUAUUUGAUCAGUUAGCUGGAGCCAGAGUAUUCUCCAAGAUAGACCUUCGCUCAGGCUAUCAUCAGAUCAAGAUCCGACCGUGUGACAUUCCCAAAACGGCUUUCUCCACACGGUAUGGACUCUACGAGUAUCUAGUUAUGUCGUUUGGGCUUACUAAUGCACCUGCUUAUUUCAUGUAUCUCAUGAAUUCGGUGUUUAUGCCCGAGCUGGACAAAUUCGUCGUGGUAUUCAUUGAUGACAUCCUAGUGUACUCGAAGAAUGAGAAGGAACAUGCCGAGCAUCUUCGCAUUGUUCUUCAACGCUUGAGAGAUCAUCAGCUGUACGCGAAGUUCUCCAAGUGUGAGUUCUGGUUGGAGAAUGUUAAAUUCUUGGGACACACUAUUUCUCGAGAUGGCAUUGCAGUCGACCCCAGCAAAGUGCAAGAGGUCAUGGACUGGAAGCCACCCACUUCGGUUCAUCAAAUCCGAAGCUUUCUUGGUCUAGCAGGCUACUAUCGGCGAUUCAUUCCGGAUUUCUCAAAAAUAGCUAAGCCUAUGACUGAGUUAUUGAAGAAAGGAGUCAAAUUCACAUGGAGUGACAAAUGUGAAGAAGCUUUCCACACCUUGAGAAGACUUUUAACCUCUGCUCCAGUCCUAGCUCAACCUGACACUACUAAGCCGUUUGACGUGUAUUGUGACGCCUCCGGCACUGGACUUGGGUGUGUUCUCAUGCAAGACAACCGAGCCAUUGCCUAUGCCUCACGAGCGUUACGGCCGCAUGAGCUGAAUUACCCGACACAUGAUCUGGAAUUGGCAGCCGUGAUUCAUGCCUUGAAGAUGUGGAGACACUAUCUUAUGGGCACUCAUUGCAAUGUCUACACUGAUCACAAGAGCCUCAAGUAUAUCUUUACUCAAGCGGAUCUUAACAUGCGUCAGAGAAGGUGGUUGGAAUUAAUUAAGGAUUAUGAUCUGGAAGUGCAUUAUCACCCCGGCAAAGCAAAUGUAGUUGCCGAUGCUCUCAGUCGCAAGGCCCAUUGCAAUUGUUUGUCGGCAACUAACUUCGCAGAAACCAUAUGUCAUGAGAUGGGAAAACUUAGUUUGGAAAUUAUUUCCCAUGGCACCUUAGGUCAUGUUUCCAUUGAAUCUACCUUAGAGGACCAAAUUGGGCUGAUACAAUUAGAAGAUGAGGAAAUAAAGCUAAUUAAGGAGAAAGUUGCACAGAGAGAUGAGGGGUAUAAACAUUUCCGACAAGAUGAGAAGGGAAUAGUGUACUAUGAGAACCGACUUGUUGUCCCAUCUAACCCUGACCUUAGGAAGCAAAUCCUGGAUGAAGCACAUCUCUCCAAGUUCUCGAUUCAUCCUGGCAGCAAUAAGAUGUAUCAUGACCUCCGUCAAACAUUUUGGUGGAGUGGAAUGAAACCGGAAAUUGCACGCUAUGUCUCGGAAUGCGACACGUGUCAACGUAUCAAGGCAAGCCACUUGAAGGUAGCAGGUACCUUGCAACCGCUACCUAUUCCAUCUUGGAAAUGGGAAGAUAUCAGCAUGGAUUUCAUUGUGGGAUUACCUGUUACUUCUCAGCGCCAUGAUUCUAUCUGGGUUAUAGUGGACCGUCUUACCAAGACGGCACAUUUCCUUCCUGUUCACACUACCUACACCGCUCGGAAAUAUGCAGAAUUGUAUCUUGACCGUAUUGUGUCCCUACAUGGUGUGCCGAAGACAAUCAUCUCUGAUCGAGGAGUUCAAUUCAUCGCACGCUUUUGGGAACAACUACAGUCCGCACUUGGCACUAAGCUAAUCCGUAGCUCAACAUAUCACCCUCAGACUGAUGGCCAAACAGAAAGAGUGAAUCAAAUUCUAGAAGACAUGCUACGUGCUUGCGUCAUACAUUAUGACAAGAAUUGGGAUAAAUGUUUGCCAUUAGCGGAAUUUUCCUAUAACAAUAGCUACCAAGCUAGCUUGAAAAUGGCACCAUUUGAAGCCCUAUAUGGUCGAAGGUGUCGAACACCUUUAAAUUGGUCACAAGCAGGAGAAAGACAAACCUACGGGCCUGAUCUAGUAGUUGAAGCCGAAGAGCAAGUUAAAAUAAUUCAGGCAAAUCUUAAAGCCGCCCAAUCACGACAGAAAAGCUAUUUUGACAAAAGGAGAAGGCCCUUACAGUUUGAUAUUGGUGAUCAUGUAUACCUCCGAGUCUCACCGACUAAGGGUGUACAACGGUUUGGGAUCAAAGGAAAAUUGGCUCCCCGAUACAUUGGUCCCUAUGAGAUCGUGGAAAUAUGCGGACCAGUCGCAUAUAGAGUUAAACUCCCUAACAGACUUUCAGCUAUACACGACAUAUUCCACGUAUCGCAGCUCAAGAAGUGUGUACGAGUUCCCACGGCAAUUAUUGAGCAAGAAGAGGUAUCGAUAGACCCGGAUCUUUCCUAUGUGGAGUACCCAAUCAAGAUUGUUGAUCGCAAGGAAAGGAAGACCCGGAACAAAUAAUGAGGAUGUUCAAAGUUCAGUGGAGUCAUCACACAGAAGCCGAAGCCACAUGGGAAACGGAGGAGUAUCUUAAUACCCACUUCCGUGGAUUUCUUUUCGAUCAGGGAGGUACGAUACCCAAGCCACACUAGUUCUUUUUCUUUCACUCGAAUCUCGGGGCGAGAUUCCUUUAAGGGGGGUAGGCUGUAGCAAACGAGCUAAAAUUUACCUUCUUUGAGCUUAAGUGAAGUCAUUAGAGCUUAAUGGAACCAAUGAACAGCCUUGCACCCAAGUAAAAUGACCCCUUUUGCCCCUCACAAGCUAAACACGUGUUCAAGCCAUAACUCAAUUUUUUGCUCAAAAACUUAAAAAUAUGCCUAACUAAGAGUUGUAUAACUCACAAAUUCUAACAACUUUUGUAAUUAGCUUUUUGCUUGAAACUGAUCAGAAAAGGGUCAAAAUAUUGAAUUACAAAUCUGGGCCGAAAGGUGCAGAUAAAAUAAAGUCAGAACUUUGGAGCCCUUUUUCUCACAUUUUCGAAUGUAUGCUAAUGACAAACCUUUUAUGAAAGUUUUAGUGCUACGAGUCCUUAACAACUUUGAUUUUUGAGCAUAGGCCAAAAUCUGCACGGAAGGUUUUUAAAAACGAGGUCAAACGCAGCUAAAAUGGUCAACACUGUCAAAAAUGGCUGAAGUGUUCAAGUCUGAAACUUUCGGAUUUUGCCAAACUUUGAAGCGUUUUAUCUUCAAUUCAGCUUCGAAUUUGAAAUCAAGACAAUUACAAGAAUUGAACUUAGAUCCUAGGCCUACAACUUUUGUAAAGGGAGUAGGGGUUGUGCAGUUCAAAAAUCUGGAGAAGAUCGCGCUCGAAGAUUGCCCUAUCGUCCGAUCCCGCAAAUCCCGCACCAGAGCUCACGCCGAGCACGCGUGCGCCGCGCUCCCCUCGCCGGCCGCGCCCUGCGACGCUCUGGCAUGCCACCGCCGCCGUGCCCACCAACGCACGCCCGAGACAAGACGCCACAGCUCCUCGGCCUCGCCUGCAGCGCCCUGAUGGAGCCGUUCACCCGUGCAUGCCUGCUUCGCCUGCAGCGCCCGCCUGCAAGUGCACCCGCCAAGUCACCUCCCAUGUCCGCCAAUGGCGCCCGCCGUGGCCGGUCCACCCCGCAGCAGUGUACUAGCGCCCCAUCCUCCAAACCACCCUCCUCCAGUCUCCUGCCUCCUUUCCAAGCCCCCGUGCCCUCCAACAGAAAGUUCUUGCCCCAAACCGGCAGCUCGAGAGGUUCCCGUUCCCAGACGAAAUCUGGCCAGCUCCCUCCGCCUCUGUCUAAUAGCCCACGCCUGAGGCUCCUCCACUUCCUCAGCCACACCCUCGGACACUCCUCGUCGCCUGCCAUCCACCCCAUCGCCCGGAAUCCCACUUUCCCCAACUCCAGGAACUCCACCCGCCACCCCCACUGCCUCACCGCGGAACACCAUCUUCCAGUCAUCCUCGUCGUCAACCAACCACUCAAACGGAACCGCGGUAAGACACUGAUCAUCAUGCUCGCGCUCGAUUUCCUCUGGGGUCAACUUUCCGCGCUCGUUCCGCUCAUGUCGACGGCGUUCCUCGCCGCCCGCGGAGCCCCUUCUGCGCCGCCCCGAUCCGCGUCUCUGGACCUGCUCCUGGGAGCCGUUGGCCCUGCUGCGCAGCCCCUCCUCGCCCCCAAGCCGCCCCGCUGCCCUCCCCCUACCGCCGCUGGCCCAAUCCCGAACGCCGGCCAAGCCUGCCUGAAUUUUGCUGUGCUGUGCGUUCUGUUCCAGAGGAAGAAGAAGGCCAGGGGUCUAGUUGCGAGUGGAAAAGAAAGUCAGGGGGUUAUGGGGAAAAUCGUGGGAUUUAUGUUUGAGGUGGGUUUUUGUCCAGGGGUGUAGGCGCAAGAUCCAGGGGCCCCUACGCAUUUAACCCAUAGACUGGAGGGCUAGAUUUGAAGAUUGCCUCGGUUUUCUUUUUCUUUUUUUUUCCCUAGAUCUAAAAAGGCUGAAAGUUUAAAAAGGCAUAGAAAAGUGUAGAAAAAUGCUAAAAAUGCAAGAUAAAUUUUGUUAGACUCAAUAUUCUGUGUAGUUUCGUAUAAAAAUAAGUUUACACAUGUCUCUGUUAGAAUUAAUGUUAUAUGAUUUAAUCCUUGUUUAAGCUAGUUUAAAUCAUAGCAAAUCACAGAAAAAUGCUAAAAAGGUAAAUCCAACUCUCAAGUGUUUGUUUCAGAGAAUAAAAGCUUAGAAAAAUGGUUUAGAGCCUAGCUUAGACAUUUAAGUUACUGUUUUAGUUUAUUAAUUGAAAUCUACGGGUAGAUUUUUCUUUUUGCAUAAUGAUAAAUCCAGAGAUGAUAAAAAUAUGAAACCACUUGGAAUAAUUCAGGAAUGAGGUGUAGUUCACAGGAUAAUUAUGAGACUUGGUUUGAAAGUUAAUGAAAACCUCUUUCCUUUUUAGAGAAAGAUAAAAAGGAAUAAUAUAUGAAAUGCCUUUCAGACUCUUGGUUUUGCAUGUUGAAUCAUUUGCACCUGCAUUUCAUGUAGAAGUUAACAUCGCCGACGGUACAUACGAGCUGCACCCGACGCCCGAAGAGGAAGCUGUAGCGGAUCUACACCACGCCGAAGUCGAGCCCGUGCUAGAGCAAGCCGAGGACCAGUUCGCUAAC